rnacentral:rRNA from 1 species
CAGUAGCCGCGGUAACACGUAGGGUGCGAGCGUUAAUCGGAAUUACUGGGCGUAAAGCGUGCGCAGGCGGUUUUGUAAGACAGAGGUGAAAUCCCCGGGCUCAACCUGGGAACUGCCUUUGUGACUGCAAGGCUAGAGUACGGCAGAGGGGGAUGGAAUUCCGCGUGUAGCAGUGAAAUGCGUAGAUAUGCGGAGGAACACCGAUGGCGAAGGCAAUCCCCUGGGCCUGUACUGACGCUCAUGCACGAAAGCGUGGGGAGCAAACAGGAUUAGAUACCCCUGUAGUCCCUGUCUCUUAUAC